AGAGUUUGAUCCUGGCUCAGGAUGAACGCUGGCGGCGUGCCUAACACAUGCAUGUCGAACGGGGAUAAGAGAUGCUUGCAUUUCUUAUCAAGUGGCGGACGGGUGAGUAACGCGUGGAUAAUCUGCCCUACACAGGGGGAUAACAGCCGGAAACGGCUGCUAAUACCGCAUAGACUGUAUUCUCGCAUGAGAGAACAGGGAAAGAUUUAUCGGUGUAGGAUGAAUCCGCGUCCGAUUAGCUAGUUGGAGGGGUAACGGCCCACCAAGGCGACGAUCGGUAGCCGGCCUGAGAGGGCGACCGGCCACAUUGGGACUGAGACACGGCCCAGACUCCUGCGGGAGGCAGCAGUGGGGAAUAUUGCACAAUGGGGGAACCCUGAUGCAGCGACGCCGCGUGAGUGAAGAAGUAUUUCGGUAUGUAAAGCUCUAUCAGCAGGGACGAAGAUGACGGUACCUGCAGAAGAAGCCCCGGCUAACUACGUG
rnacentral:rRNA from 1 species